rnacentral:rRNA from 1 species
CACUCCUGCGGGAGGCAGCAGUGGGGAAUAUUGCACAAUGGGCGCAAGCCUGAUGCAGCCAUGCCGCGUGUAUGAAGAAGGCCUUCGGGUUGUAAAGUACUUUCAGCGGGGAGGAAGGCGAUAAGGUUAAUAACCUUGUCGAUUGACGUUACCCGCAGAAGAAGCACCGGCUAACUCCGUGCCAGCAGCCGCGGUAAUACGGAGGGUGCAAGCGUUAAUCGGAAUUACUGGGCGUAAAGCGCACGCAGGCGGUCUGUCAAGUCGGAUGUGAAAUCCCCGGGCUCAACCUGGGAACUGCAUUCGAAACUGGCAGGCUAGAGUCUUGUAGAGGGGGGUAGAAUUCCAGGUGUAGCGGUGAAAUGCGUAGAGAUCUGGAGGAAUACCGGUGGCGAAGGCGGCCCCCUGGACAAAGACUGACGCUCAGGUGCGAAAGCGUGGGGAGCAAACAGGAUUAGAAACCCUUGUAGUCCCA